GGAUUGUGGCUCAGAGGUCGAGGGCUUGCCUAGCACGUGGGAGGCCCUGGGUUCGAUCCUCAGCACCA
rnacentral:tRNA from 1 species